rnacentral:rRNA from 1 species
GACGAACCGUGCGAACGUUGUUCGGAAUCACUGGGCUUAAAGGGCGCGUAGGCGGGCAAGCAAGUCCGGGGUGAAAGCCCCCAGCUUAACUGGGGAAGUGCCUUGGAAACUGCUUGUCUCGAGGGAGGUAGGGGCCUGUGGAACUUCGGGUGGAGCGGUGAAAUGCGUUGAUAUCCGAAGGAACGCCGGUGGCGAAAGCGACGGGCUGGACCUCUUCUGACGCUGAGGCGCGAAAGCCAGGGGAGCGAACGGG